rnacentral:rRNA from 1 species
UGGGGAAUAUUGCACAAUGGGCGCAAGCCUGAUGCAGCCAUGCCGCGUGUAUGAAGAAGGCCUUCGGGUUGUAAAGUACUUUCAGUCGUGAGGAAGGUGUUAAGGUUAAUAACCUUAGCAAUUGACGUUAGCGACAGAAGAAGCACCGGCUAACUCCGUGCCAGCA